rnacentral:ncRNA from 2 species
AAUUUAAAAGGUAGCGAAGAAUAUAUGUCUUGAUUUGGGCACUUGGACAUACAGGAGCUAGUAGUGCAACCGACCUUGUUAUUU